UUUAGAUGUCUGUAAUUUAUGUAAAGGUUUUGUAUUAUGACAUCCAACAGCACAUAGCAGCAUGGUUGGAAGUAUGACAGGAGAACAUAUGUCCAGGUGUAAGUACCAAAUGGGGAAGGAAGUAAGGUAGGCAACAAAAUGUAUCAUUCUGCUAAAGAGAAGGGAUGAUCAUUUUUAAGCUAUUUAGCAUUCCAAACCUGCUUGGAGAUAUUGGUUGAAAUUCAGUUGUGUCACUGUUAGUUGGGGGAAUAUUGGUUGCUGUGAUAUAUAAAAUUACGAGUUUAAGGUCUCAAACAUUUUCAUUUAUUGUGGAACAGACAGAUCCAAGUAAUAUUAUUUCUCAUUUAGUCUAUGGGUUGGUAACAUAUGUGAGGGAUAUGCUUCUGGG